UUAAACUGGGCGACUCUACUUACUUAUUACUUGAGGAUGAAAAAAAAACGUGUUUUUAAAUGUUGCUCUUAAACAAGGGUGGCGGUUGAACUACUAAAAGUACAACAACAGUUAAUUCACAACAAAUCGUACGAGUGCCCUGACAAAGAAGCUGUGACAGUGUUGUCGAUAUGAGACAUAUCGGGAGAACAAAACAGAGUCCAUCGUGAUUCCGAAACAACUACAUUUGCAGCUACCAAUGUGUGCAGAACCUGUUGACAAUAUCAAUAAAAAUAUGACCCAGAAAAUCCAGAAUGGCUCUAAACAUUCCAUAUUGUAUACGGUAUGGGGUCCAGAAAGGCCCCGCAUGAGGGUAUAAGAUCUGGGACCCAAUAAGAGACCACAUGGGACCCACUUAAAUCCCGGUUGCAAAUACCAUCUGGACCAUUAUAGUUUUCCCAUCUUGGGCCAUGAUAGAAAAUAGUAUUGGGCCAAUUUGGGCCCAAUAUGAGAUGCUGUCUGGGAUAUAACAUUCAGAUAUAAACAUACUGUUAUGUAUAUGUCAUUCCUCUUUAAACUUUACUUUAUUGAUAACUCAUUGUUUAUUGGCCUAGUUUCGAGACAUGUUGUCAAAUAGUUGUUUAUAUUCUAUGGUGUUCCAGAAUGUUCUACCACAAUACUGACAUAGUUUUGAGACAUGUCAAUAAAUUGUUUAUAUUCUAUGGUGUUCCAGAAUGUUCUAACACAAUUCUGAUAAACAGGGUGUUACAAUUAUUAUUAAAGUCCGGAUUGUUCUUGGUUUUUCCAGAAUAUUCCUUUUAUUCUUGGUGAUACUUGAAAGCUCUGGAACCUUCCGUGAUACUUUAAAUAGCAAGCUAUCUGGGGACAGGAUAAAAGCUAAAAGUAAGAACUUAUUGAAACACUUUCCUGUAUUUCUUAAUAACAAAAUAUUAUCAUUUAUAUCUAACAUGUGAAGGAUUUACGUUAAAAUUGUGGAUUUAAAAAUUCAUCUUUAAAGAGAGGAUCUAUAUUCUUUGGACAUACUAAAUUCAGUUUGUAUUUUUGAACAAUUUGUUUGGGUUUAAAUUUGACCAGGACAGCAUUUGGACUAUUUUUGCAUAUUAGAUUGGAUUUUAUGGCUAUUUAACAUUUUUAAGGUAUUUUAGUUGUUACCUUUAUGAAUAAAAUUUUGUUAUUGUUAAUAGGUGCUAGUUUGUUUUUCUGUUACCUUUGAUAUUUUAAGUAACAAACAAUUGUUACCUUUUGACGUAACAAUACAAAAAGAAGAAACGGUCAAUCAACUUGUGAACAAGUCAGCUUUGGAAAGAUCAGUGGCAAAAACAGCACUGGAGAGUUUAAUCUAGUAAACUAGUUUACCACCCAAAUUAAUUUAAAAAAAAAAAACAACCAAAUCGUAUUACUUACAGCAACUGAACUAUAAAUAUAGCAAUAAUAAGAUGUAAAAGGAAUUGAGCACUAGCUGUGCUUACACGGCCUCGAAAAUACAAACUAUUUUGACACUGUACUACAAGCACGUAGAAAAUUUCCUGCGCAUCAAGCCAAAAAGGUUGUUAGUAGAUAUGAAAUAAUGUCAGUAGGUACUGAUGGUUGGUGAUGCGAGUGCAAUCACAUUUGUCUUGGUUGAACGCCAUGUAUCAGCCCCUCUCUAUUCAUAGAGGCUGUCUAGAUCCUUCUGUAAGUGCUCUACAUCCUGCUUGUUGUUGAUAACUCUCUACAUCAGAUAAUCAUCAGCAAGUGACGCGUAGUGUAGGCCGUAAUGUAGACCAGGAAUAAAAGAGGACCUAGGAUUAUACACAGGGGAAAACCUGGCGUGACCAGUGACUAUGUAGGCUAAUGACACGUGCCUGUAAAGAAUAACUUGUAGGAGCAGCUCUGGAUUCAUGAAAAGGUCUUCCAUUGGAUGCCAUGGUGAUGUUAUUUCAUGGUCAAACAUUAGUGCGUAACUCCUUCCCAGAAUAACAAUUUCAAAAUGUUAAUACUGUCCAUUUCAUGCUUUUCAGUGGUGUAUUGAAAUGUAAUGGUGUAUCAUGUUUGACUGUUCCUCAUUUCAUAAUUUGUACUUUUAUGGAACUACACAUGAACGUUAAAGAAUAUGAAAUAUAAACUAUCGGAAAUUCUUUCCAAAAUACGCACAAAUAAAGAUAAAAAAUAUAUAAAUACCCCCACCCCCACCACUACCACACACACGCACGCACGCACGCACGCACGCACACACACACACACACACGAAUAACAAAAACGUAAAGAUACAUGCUUCAUCGUAUCAAAACGUACAGAAUUUUAAACAUAUGUAAUAGUUAUAGUAUGUGUGAGAGUGUGUUACCAGAAUAUAUCAGAGCUAGGGGUACAUCGAGGGUAUUUUUCUCUGCACAUAUCCACUGUCUUGUAAGCUGUACGGCCGUAAAUGUUUAGACACUUCCAAGAUGGCGGACGCUGAAAGUCAACACAGGCUUAUUGCAUUCACGUGUUAUUACUGUUGCUUCGAGGGCGACUUUGAUAUGGUUGUUGAACACUGCACAGAACUCCACUCCAAUCAAAUUCGUCUAAAGAAAACAUGCCUGCCUGCACAACACAGCAGAUUAUAGAUGACUGGGAUGAGCCUUUAAGAGACGUAUCAACCAUUCGUUUAAGGGACCAUUCGUUUGAUCUAGAGGAGAGAAGGCGAGGAAAAAGAACCAGAAAAUCUGGAAAAGUGUCUAAGCCAAAUCAGCCAGCACGAAAUCAGUUCCCAGUUCGGGAGUACCACAAGGCGUCAGAGGCAAAGAUACUUCCCCAUGUGCGUCGUGGGUUAAACCUGGAAUCUUUUAACGACUCAUAGAAACUAGACUCUUUGAAGGACUCAUAGAAACACUACUCUUUUAAUACCUCGUAGAAACUGGACUCUUUUAACGACUCAUAAUGUCAAAAUGGUUACACUGUGGUAUGAACUUGAUAAGUUUAUGUGCUACCAUUUUCAACAGUUGCUUAAAUAUAUUCAUAUUUACACUGUUGGCUAAGAACUGAUUAUUAAUAAUUGGAAAGUAAAAAUGAUAUAACAUAUAAUUGUGCAGUUUAUCUUUUUAUUAAAUGUCUUAUUUAGACUUCAAUAUUGCAAAUCAUAAAUAUAAUUAUAAAACAACAAAACAAGUAUAUAAUCAAAUAACAUAAAAACAUAGAACAUGUAUAAUGAUUAAUCUCAUAAAGGUAAAUCUCUAAAGUUAAAAAAUAACUUCUUUAUUUCGGAAUAUUUCCAAAUGAUAGACAUAUGAUUGUAAUGCAUAUCACAAUAAGCUUUGAAUCACAAUUGUGUUUAUCACGUUUGAAAGAAGAGUGAUCACCACUGUUAUCCUCCUUUAUGAA